AAAUAGAAAUUUACAUGGGUAAAGUAUUGGUUCCGACUUCACAAUACCACCCUCUACUUCUUUACGAAGAAACAUGGAGAUGCAUUACGCCUCCAUGGACACUACUCCAUGUACAUAGUGCAGUCGGUGCGCGAGGUACAAGCUGUGAAAGCCGAUUACCCUUUUGAGAUCACAAUGACAAACGGAAAGAAGAAAC